UACGUAGGGUGCGAGCGUUGUCCGGAAUUAUUGGGCGUAAAGAGCUCGUAGGCGGUUUGUCGCGUCGACUGUGAAAACCUGGGGCUUAACUCUGGGCCUGCAGUCGAUACGGGCAGACUUGAGUUCGGUAGGGGAGACUGGAAUUCCUGGUGUAGCGGUGAAAUGCGCAGAUAUCAGGAGGAACACCGGUGGCGAAGGCGGGCUCUCGUCGGGACGGUACUGAC
rnacentral:rRNA from 1 species